GCCGGGCAUAGUGGCGCAUGCCUGUAAUCCCAGCAGCUUGGGAGGCUGAGACAGAAGAAUUGAAAGUUCAAAGUUCAAAGCUAGCCUCAGCAACAGUGAGGCACAAAGCAAUUCAGUGAGACUCUGUUGCUA
rnacentral:sRNA from 1 species